rnacentral:rRNA from 1 species
UACGUAGGGGGCUAGCGUUGUCCGGAAUCAUUGGGCGUAAAGCGCGCGUAGGCGCCCGAUCAGUCCGCUGUAAAAGUCCAGGGCUCAACCCUGGAAAGCCGGUGGAUACUGUCGGGCUAGAGUCCGGAAGAGGCGAGUGGAAUUCCUGGUGUAGCGGUGGAAUGCGCAGAUAUCAGGAGGAACACCUAUAGCGAAGGCAGCUUGCUGGGACGACACUGACGCUGAGGCGCGAAAGCGUGGGGAGCGAACAGGG